UACAGAGGGGGCAAGCGUUGUUCGGAAUUACUGGGCGUAAAGGGCGCGUAGGCGGCCUGCUAAGUCGAACGUGAAAUCCCUGGGCUCAACCCAGGAACUGCGUCCGAUACUGGUUGGCUUGAAUCCGGGAGAGGGACGUGGAAUUCCAGGUGUAGCGGUGAAAUGCGUAGAUAUCUGGAGGAACACCCGUGGCGAAGGCGGCUCACUGGGCUGACCUUGACGCUGAGGCGCGAAGGCGUGGGGAGCGAACGGGG
rnacentral:rRNA from 1 species